rnacentral:misc_RNA from 1 species
GAAGUUCCAAAUGGACGAAUGAUAAAUUAUCCAGGACAAGUAGGAUUUAUGUUUGUGGAGUUGUAAAUUAAUAUUCUCAAAAUUAUAUAGGCAUAAGCCUCUUCGACCCAUGAAUUGAAGUAUUUCCGGAUAGUCAUAAAUAUUAGCCCCUGAACUAAAUUUGCAGUCAAACAAAACCUUACAAUUUUUUAAAAUGGAUCAAAUUAAUCCAAAAUUUAACACCAUUAACUACUUGUUUAUUCGCAUCUCUGCACCUUCUUCUUCACACGACUAAAUUCCUGUAAGAACCCCCUCCACACACACAAUUGUUAUUGUUCUUUGUUAGCUAUGAUUACCGGUAAGGGCAUUUAUGCUGUUCUCGCUGCGACUUUUCCUCUAUAUGUUGCUAUGACACUAGCCUAAGGCUCAGUGCAAAGGUGGAAAAUAUUCAUGUCUGAUCAAUGCUCUGGUAUUAACUAUUUUGCGUCAAUCUCUGUUGUUAUGUUACCCUCUUUCCAUUUCAUCUCUUCCAACCACCAUUACUCCAUGAACUAGACUUCAUUGCAGCCGAUUCCCUGCAAACAGUAGUCAUUCUUGCGAUUCUUUUUCUCUGACAAG